rnacentral:rRNA from 1 species
AACCUCGCCCCAUAGUCUGGGAUACCACUUGGAAACAGGUGCUAAUACCGGAUAAGAAAGCGGAUCGCAUGAUCAGCUUUUAAAAGGCGGCGUAAGCUGUCGCUAUGGGAUGGCCCCGCGGUGCAUUAGCUAGUUGGUAAGGUAAAGGCUUACCAAGGCGAUGAUGCAUAGCCGAGUUGAGAGACUGAUCGGCCACAUUGGGACUGAGACACGGCCCAAACUCCUACGGGAGGCAGCAGGC